UGUAUUUAUUAGAUAAAAAACCAACGCCCUCCGGGGCUCCUUGGUGAUUCAUGAUAACUCAACGAAUCGCAUGGCCUUGCGCCGGCGAUGGUUCAUUCAAACUUCUGCCCUAUCAACUUUCGAUGUUAGAGUAGUGGUAGGUGCACCCUCGCCCGAGAACAAGGCAUUCGCUAACUGUAUGGCAGGUCUAACAUGGUGUCAACGGGUAACGGGGAAUUAGGGUUCGAUUCCGGAGAGGGAGCCUGAGAAACGGUACGUCCCAACCACCAUCUACGCCUCUGGCACAAUGCUAACUAACUUUAGGCUACCACAUCCAAGGAGGGCAGCAGGCGCGCAAAUUACCCAAUCCCAACACGGGGAGGUGUAAGUCCAUUUUGCAUGUCCCUCAGCUGACAUAGCGUGUGCUAACUUGAAUUUUAGAGUGACAAUAAAUACUGAUACAGGGCUCUUAUGGGUCUUGUAAUUGGAAUGAGUACAAUCUAAAUCCCUUGCGCCCGUCGUUAGGGGAUGAGUCAGUCGGCCCCCGGGCCGGCUAUGCGCUCCUCUGCGGGGAGGUCGACCCGGAAACGGCGGCCGACUCGGGACCUCCGCGGAGGCUCAGAGGCUAAACGGGCGCAGGUGGCGGGCGAUCCCGCCACCCAUGAUAUAGUCCAAUUCCCCCGGCGCUCCCGGGAGGACCAGAUGUAACGAGGAACAAUUGGAGGGCAAGUCUGGUGCCAGCAGCCGCGGUAAUUCCAGCUCCAAUAGCGUAUAUUAAAGUUGUUGCGGUUAAAAAGCUCGUAGUUGAACUUUGGGUCUGGCUGGCCGGUCCGCCUCACCGCGUGCACUGGUUCGGCCGGGCCUUUCCUCCUGGGGAACGGCAUGCCCUUCACUGGGCGUGUUCGGGAACCAGGACUUUUACUUUGAAAAAAUUAGAGUGU
rnacentral:misc_RNA from 1 species